AUUUCGGUUAGAAAACGUAAAAUAUGUUAAAGUUUCAUUAAGUGGUUAGGUCGUCAUUAUCGUCCUAAUGAAAUUAUUGCGUACUGGAACCCAAUGUGAUUAGUCAAUAACAGCUCAUUCCCACUAUCUAUAUAUGUAGUACAUUUUUCGAUCUAUUCCAGGUACAAGAUCAACAGUUCGCACCUUGAUUGACGCUAAUUUUAGCCCAAAAUACUCCCACCAACAAAACAAAAAAAAAGAAGAAGAAGAAAUUACUACAGCAAUCAGCCUCGAGAAGCAGCAAAUUUCCCAUAGGAAUUUCACUGUAAACAUCACGUUGAAACCAACGGCGCCGAAUGCGCAAAAUUAUCAGCAGCUGGAGAUCGAUCGAUCGAACUCAUCUAAGGCGCUGUGCAAGCAAGGACAGUCCACAGAGACGGAUACGAGAGCGUACAUCACAGUACAGCUAAGCUGAAUGCAUCGAGCACGCGCUGAACGGCAGCAUCACGAGGGGUGGGUGGGCGAGAACGCGAGGGACCAUACCUAGCUGCAAGUCUUGAUGAGUCGACCUCCAUCCAUGCAUGGCGCUCGCAAGAUUUUGUCUCACUGCCCUACCGAAAUUGCCACUGAUGAUAUACAUAUAGAUGGAUGGAUUGACACAAUGCCAGAAGUAUCGUUUGAGCACGCAUUUUUCUUUGGUCAGAAGAUAUUAGUUCUUGCUGGUGUGAGAGGCUGAAGCUGCCAGCAUGAUCUGGUCCAUGAGUUGCACUGCUGAAUAUAUUGAAUUCAGCCAGGAGCUGCUACUGCAGUUCUGAUCUCGAUCUGCAUUCGUUGUUCUGAGCUAUGUAUGGAUUUGAUCGGUUUGAAGGCAUCCAUGUCUUUAAUUUCAUCGAUCAGAUCAUGUUGCAGCUUCACUCUCUCACUACCAGCAAAACCAUCUCAUCGGGGCUCCAGUCUUCGAUCACAGGUUCGUAAUUGUCUUAAGCAGGUCAUCACUAUAAGCUGACAAGCUAUAUGAUGCAACCUUUUCCCGAACUUCUAUGGACUAUGGAGAAAGGAGGUCAGUGUUCUUUGUUCCUGUAACGAUUAAACUAUUAGCCAUAUACUUCUCAUUUUCUCUUGAACAUGGUUUUCUUCUUUGUGUGCACUUGAUGAUUUGAUACAGUACGAUAUAUUGCUAUCUAAUCUCACAACUGUUGAUACAUUCUCAGUUGGAACUCUGAGCAAUUUUGUCCCCCAUUUCCUCCUCGGACACAUUUACUACACUGCUAUAUAUACAUUUUCACAAAAAAACAAUGCUCCAGGGACAUUGUUAGUUCAUCUGAACUUGCUUCUGCAGUUCUACAUCUGUACUGUUAAGUGUUUCAGGCAACAUCACGACAGGAGCCAUAAAUCCUUUCAGCUACAUCUAGGGAGCGCAACUGCUGUCCUCGACACUGUGACAAUAUUCUACAGAGAAUGUGAUUUUCAGAAAAGAAAAAAAAAUGCAAAGCAUUGGCCAUUGGCCGCUUGAAAUGGUUUUUGUUUUUUAGAGAAAGCAUUGGCCAUAUGCAUGUGCUCCUACACGAUUUUAGCGACUCCAUAAUCACAAUGUGUGCUUCUCAUGUUCAUCUUCCGGAAAGCAUCCUCUUUCCCCAAAAUAAUAGCUAAUAAUAAAAUGACUCAUAUCACAUU